ACCAGCCGACGAGUCCCAAAUAGGACGAAAUGCAUGUUAUCCUGGAU
rnacentral:hammerhead_ribozyme from 1 species